CCCUUAGAUGUUCUGGGCCGCACGCGCGCUACACUGAUGCAUUCAACGAGCCUAUCCUUGACCGACAGGUCCGGGUAAUCUUUGAAUCUGCAUCGUGACGGGGAUAGAUUAUUGCAAUUAUUAAUCUUCAACGAGGAAUGCCUAGUAGGCGCAAGUCAUCAGCUUGCGUCGAUUACGUCCCUGCCCUUUGUACACACCGCCCGUCGCUCCUACCGAUUGGGUGUGCUGGUGAAAUGUUCGGAUCGGCCGUUUGUCGAGGUUUCCGCGUCAUGUGGCUGAGAAGUUCAUUAAACCCUCCCACCUAGAGGAAGGAGAAGUCGUAACA
rnacentral:rRNA from 1 species